rnacentral:tRNA from 1 species
GGGCCAGUGGCGCAAUGGAUAACGUGUCAGACUACGGAUCAGAAGAUUCUAGGUUCGACUCCUGGCUGGCUCU